GCUAAGAGAACGAAGAGGAGGAGGAAGAAUGGACUUGUGCGAGAAGAAACAAAGUAACCAGGGGGCUAACUAGAGAAGAGAGGGAUGUUCUUGGGAAGAAAGAAGGAAGCAGGAGGGCCAUUGUGCAAAUGGGCAGAUUGGAUCGAGGGGUCAAAAUCCCUAGUCCAUCUCCAAUUCCCCUCGGGCCUAGCAACACCUCUCCUUCCCCCAUCUCCUUCUCCACCACCGGCCACCGCCGUGGCCAGGCCGACGGAGUGGUGCGCCUCCCGCUUCAUCACGCAUCUCCAUCCACCACUCCACCAUCACCCUGCACCACCAGCGCCACCAGCACCCCCACCAUCACUCCGCGCCAUCCAUCGACCAUCUCCAUCCACCGCCGCAUCUGGCGCGACCCACCAGACUGCCCGUCUGGUGUCCCGCGCGAGCACGCCAUCCACCACUUUCACUCCUCCCUCUCGCUUGUUGUUGCUCCUCCCUCUUGCUUUGUCCUGCUGCUUAUUUUCUUCCCCUCGCCUUCCUCAACUGCUGCUGCUCCUUCUUCCUGUGCACCCCUGCUGCUCCUCUCUCUCGCAACUCCUGCUGCUGCUCUUCUUCCUCUUCUCCUCACCUUGCCGCUGCUCUGAAUCUUAACUUGUUGCUGCCGCUUCUUCUUCUCUGAACCCAACGCUGCUAGAUGCUCCUCCUAGUUCCGCUUCUCUUCUACCCAACAAAACUGCUGCUGCUCUCUUUAUUUCUCUUCAUCUCUCUCUUUCUAUGUGUGUGUGUAAUUUCUGUGAGUUACUAGUGGAUGCUAGAUCAACUAUAUUCUAUUCUGAAUUAGUAUUAUUUGUGUUUGUAUAUUAGUUAGUUUACUUUAAUAAUUCAGAUCACCUAUGAUCUUUGUGUUGAAUGUGCUUUCAGUGUUCUUGAGAAGUGUAAAACUGUUCAACAUUCAGUUUACAAUUUCUGAAACUUCUGUGAUUCAGUGGUGUCUCUAUGUCAUAUAUAUAGCCUAUGUACUGCCUGUUGUAGAAAAUUUCAGUUUGUAAGUUCCUGUGAUAGCUCCAGUACAUGUGACUUUUAUGUUGUCUCAAGUACCUGUGAUAUACAUACAUAUGUGUGUGUCUGUCAUGUGAUACAUUCAUGUUCUAUCCUACAACCUUGUUUCUUCCCCCUGUUAAUUGUUAGAUAGCUAUAGGUAUGUAUGUAUGUAUAUAUAUAUAUAUAUAUAUAUUCAUGUCUUUUUAAUUCCCUAGCAUUUUGAUGUUUUCUCAUGUUAGCAUUUUAUUUCUCAAGUUUAAUGAAAACCUCCCCUUGCUUGUUUUGUGUUUUCUUUGGCGACGAUCUUCAGGAAGAACUUUGUAUAGUUUAGGUUUAUAUUUUCUACAUUCGUCUCUUAAAAUUGUGUUACCUAUAUUUAGCCGAGCAUAGUCGUCGUCGCCUAGUCCCUAUGGGGAACACGACACUUGCAGUUUGGGGCGUAAAACCCCCGCUGUACUACAAUUGAUCAUUUUGGCGCCGUUGCCGGGGACUAGCGUCGAGUGGCCGUGUUAGGCUAUAGACUAGGUGUUUCUUCUUUUUCUAGUUUGUGCCAUAUAUAUGUGAUAUAUAUCUAACCCCUAAGGCUUGUUCAAGUUAUUUUCUCUUUCUUUGCUUGGUCAUUCUGCAGGUUAUUGCAUCUUCUCGGUUAUGGCUUACUGUUCGGAUCAUCAUGCUUAUGCGAGCAACACUACAAACAGCACGGAAAGUAUUCAAGACCUAAUAAGCAAGAUUUCCCAUCAAUUAUAUGAUUUAGCUCGACAACGAGAAGUAGUUUUUGAGGAUAGGCCUAGCUCUUAUGAUCCUUAUUCUAGAGGUCAUCCUUAUGUUGCUCCUACAUGCCAUAUUUGUGGAUUUCAGGGCCAUUCACCCGUUGAAUGUCAGCGUGGUUACUCUCACUCUUCCGAUUGUUAUGGCAUGAGCUUCGCCCCACAGCCUAGCUCAUACCAAAACAAUUACUCAUAUGGGUGGCCUGAAAACAAGAAUAUGUCAUAUAGGAGCAACAACCCUAAGAUCUCACUGUUUGCUUCUAGUAAUCAUAUGCUCCACAAUAGAUUUAUUCAGCUCCUACUCAUAUACCUCAACACCAGGAGAUGUUGCCAAUGGAGUUAAACGGUCCUCCAUUUCGUCAACCAACAACUCCAGCAACUGCCGAGCAAUCUCAUGUGCAAGUACCCACACAAGAUGAAUUUGAUGAUAUAGACAAGCUCACAUUGCUUAGUCUCGAGUUCACUUGGAGUGCUGAAGAUGAUCCAAUUAGGCCGGUGAUACUAGAUGAAAUGAAGAAGAUCAAGACUGGAAAAGAGCUACUGGAAGAAGUAAGGAAGAUUGAGAAGAACAUCAACGCUGGCAGCACUAUUUCUUCACAGCUUGAGCUGAGUGUUUCUAGGAUUCCUCUUGAUACAUGUGAGUUUCUAACACCUUCACAUUCAGCUGAGCAAGAUAGCGAGAUUCCAGAGGAAGAGAUGCUUCAGAUCCAAGAAGAAAUUCUUGAAGCCAAGUCACAAGAUGAUCCAGAGCUCGAAUACCCAAAUGAACAAGUUGAAGAUCCAAUGUCUACUACUUCCGAAGAAGUAAAAGAAGCUGUUGUAGAUGAAGAUGAAGAACCUGAGAUUCAUUUGCCUAUUGUUAUACAAGAGAGUGAUGUGCCAGGUUCAUUCAAUCCUCUUAAUGACAUGUCCCAUUAUGUUUUGUUUGACUCUACCUUGCUUUACAUGAUGCCAUCACUUAAGGUAGAUUUAAAGAAGUGUUUGCUUGGAUAUGAUGAUACAUAUACUGUUGAUGGAAUUGCUCAUAUUAAUGAUGAUCACACUUAUUUUCCUCAUGCCAAGCCUAUGCUUAAUGAUAAAUAUCAUCUUACUGCUAGUAUUGAGCUAGUUGAUUCCUAUAAUACUCGUCAUGUUCUAUAUUCCUAUGUUUAUAUAAUUGGAUACUCGAUUGAUGACUUAGAGGGCAUCGACCCUAUCACUCUUAGUUGUUGUUUGUGUGUGUCCUAUUUCAGGUUUUUGCUUGUGCACGAAUCAAUGUAUGUUGACCAGGUUCGAGGUGACAUCCCUUGGGAUCCCGGUGGAGUUAGAGCAUGGCGAUGAGGAGAAGCAAUGGGGCACACAUAUGGAAGAGAGGAGCUGGAGCGUGCACGAGGAAGCAAAAGGAGAGGAGUCACAAUGCAAGAGGAUGUGAGAUGAUCGAGUGAGUGCUACAUGAGCAAAACCCGGUGAUCAGUUUCAUGUCCCCAAUCAGAAUAUAUCAUCCAUUGAUACAUGCUGAAAUCAAUUGCUAUUUGGGUUGCUUGAGCCAUUUCUUAAACGUUGUCCCAUUGAAUUUUACCUUUGACAUAUGGUGCUUGAUGAGAAUAGGUGAACUGAUUGUUGAAUGCCUUGUAAACUAGUGAUCUACACCCUGUUUGCUUUGCUGAAAGUAGUGAAAGCUAUUAGUUUUGAGUGCUCAAAUCUCUAGUGCACUAGUAAACUUAAUCUUUUUCUGCAUUUACCUUGAUACACCUAGAUCACUAUGUUCAGAUGAUGUAUUUGUGCCAAGUGUGUUCCCACUCAGAGCAAUCACUUUACCACUAUGGACUAGCAUGCUAUGUUCCUUGGAUCGGUAGCAUGUGAACCAGGCAUGGUUGAGUGAUGAUUCUUGUUUUUGUUCAAAAAAAGUAUAUCUUAUAAUGAAUAAUAAGUCUGACUACCUACAAUAGCAUGUCAUGUUCCCUGGAUCGAUGGCAUGUGAAAUCGGGUUAGCUGGGGCAGUAAUUAAUAAAUAAAUAUGUAAUUGUCGAACCAGGUGUAUACCAUGUUCUUUGGAUCGGUGGUAUGUUCCUUUGGGGAGACAAACAAUUUUUUUUAAUAAUAAUUGGUUUUGCCAGGUGUAUACCAUGUUCUCGGGAUCGGUGGUAUGUUCCUUCGGUGAGACUAAUAAAAUAAUAUGUGUGUUUCUUUCAAAUUCAAUAAGUGGUUCAACCACAAUGUUAUAUCUCUGUAAAUAAGUGAUUUGAUCACAAGAUUUAAUUAUUCAAGUUCCUUUUGUUCUCAGGAUCAUGCUCUCUUUAGGAACCUUUGGCAUAAUCAGCAUUUGAACUUGCUAACCUUCUUGUAUCAUUGUAAAAGUUUAAAAUGAUCAACUCUACUAGUAUCCUAUUGCUUUGUAGCACUCUUAACCAUUGAUUUUCACUAGCUAAGUCCAAAGCAUGCGAUGUUUGGAGAUCUACUUCACUUGGACAUUCUCUAGUCAGCUCACUGUUCACCAUCUAGCUCUUGUCAUUUGCCUUUACUUGAGGACAAGUAAAGAUUUAAGUGUGGGGGAACUUGAUAAGCACAUUUCAUAUAUAUAAUUUUGGCAUACAAUUAUACUAUUCGUUGGGUUAUGCCCAUCUAUCCUUGCUAAGUUUAGUUGAAUAUUUGCAUGAAAAUCAUAUAAUGAAUCAUUUACUAGUCAUUGUGUGUCUUUUGCAGAAAAGUGCGCAACGGCACUAUAAACUUCAAGAUCCAUACUAGUGGCUAAGAGAACAAAGAGGAGGAGGAAGAAUGGACUUGUGCGAGAAGAAACAAAGUAACCAGCGGGCUAACUAGAGAAGAGAGGGAUGUUCUUGCGAAGAAAGAAGGAAGUAGGAGGGCCAUUGUGAAAAUGGGCAGAUUGGAUCAAGGGGUCAAAAUCCCUAGUCCAUCUCCAAUUCCCCUCGGGCCUGGCAACACCUCUCCUUCCCCCAUCUGCUUCUCCACCACCGGCCACCGCCGCGGCCAGGCUGCCGUGGUGGUGCGCCUCUCACCUCAUCACCCAUCUCCAUCCACCACUCCACCAUCACCCUGCACCACCAACGCCACCAGCACUCCCACCAUCACUCCGCGCCAUCCAUCCACCAUCUCCAGCCACCGCCGCAUCUGGCGCGACCCACCAGACUGCCCGUCUGGUGUCCCGCACGAGCACGCCAUCCACCACUUCCACUCCCCCCUCUCUCUUAUUGCUGCUCCUCCCUCUUGCUUCGUCCUGCUGCUUCUUUUCUUCCCCUUGCCUUCCUCAACUGCUACUGAUCCUUCUUCCUAUGCACCCCUGCUGCUCCUCUCUCUCUCGCAACUCCUGCUGCUGCUCACCUUGCUGCUGCUCUGAACCUUAACUUGUUGCUUCCACUUCUUCUUCUCUGAACCCAACGCUGCUAGCUGCUCCUCCUAGUGUCGCUUCUCUUCUGCCCAAUAAAAUUGCUGCUGCUCUCUUUGUUCCUCUUCAUCUCUCUCUUUCUAUGUGUGUGUGUGUGUAAUUUCUGUGAGUUAUUAGUGGAUGCUAGAUCAACUAUAUUCUAUUCUGAAUUAGUAUUAUUUGUGUUUGUAUGUCAGUUAAUUUACUUUAAUAAUUCAGAUCACCUGUGAUCUUUGUGUUGAAUGUGCUUUCAGUGUUCUUGAGAAGUGUAAAACUGUUCAACAUUCCGUUUACAUGUUCUGAAACUUCUGUGAUUCAAUGGUGUCUCUAUGUCAUAUAUAUAGCUUGUGUACUGCCUGUUGUAGAAAAUUUCAGUUUGUAAGUUCCUGUCAUAGCUCCAGUACAUGUGAAUCUUAUGUUGUCUCAAGUACUUGUGAUAUAUAUACAUAUGUGUGUGUCUGUCAUGUGAAACAUUCAUGUUCUGUCCUACAACCUUGUUUCUUCCCCCUGUUAAUUGUUAUAUAGCUAUAUA
rnacentral:lncRNA from 1 species